CGAACGGGUGAGUAACGCGUGAGGAACCUGCCUCAAAGAGGGGGACAACAGUUGGAAACGACUGCUAAUACCGCAUAAGCCCACGGCUCGGCAUCGAGCAGAGGGAAAAGGAGCAAUCCGCUUUGAGAUGGCCUCGCGUCCGAUUAGCUAGUUGGUGAGGUAACGGCCCACCAAGGCGACGAUUGGUAGCCGGACUGAGAGGUUGAACGGCCACAUUGGGACUGAGACACGGCCCAG
rnacentral:rRNA from 1 species